rnacentral:rRNA from 1 species
CGUAGGGUGCAAGCGUUAAUCGGAAUUACUGGGCGUAAAGCGUGCGCAGGCGGUUUUAUAAGUCUGAUGUGAAAUCCCCCGGGCUCAACCUGGGAACUGCAUUGGAGACUGUAAGGCUAGAGUGUGUCAGAGGGGGGGUAGAAUUCCACGUGUAGCAGUGAAAUGCGUGGAUAUGUGGAGGAAUACCGAUGGCGAAGGCAGCCCCCCUGGGAUAACACUGACGCUCAUGCACGAAAGCGUGGGGGAGCAAACAGGAUUAGAUACCCUGGUAGUCCACGCCCUAAACGAUGUCUACUAGUUGUCGGGUCUUAAUUGACUUGGUAACGCAGCUAACGCGUGAAGUAGACCGCCUGGGGGAGUACGGUCGCAAGAUUA